GCGGGCGUGAUGGAAUGGUAGACAUACGGGACUUAAAAUCCCGAGGGUGUACACCCGUGUGGGUUCGAGUCCCACCGCCCGCACCA
rnacentral:tRNA from 1 species